UACGUAGGGUGCGAGCGUUAAUCGGAAUUACUGGGCGUAAAGCGUGCGCAGGCGGUUCGCUGUGUCCGAUGUGAAAGCCCCGGGCUCAACCUGGGAAUGGCAUGGGAAACUGGCGGGCUGGAGUGUGGCAGAGGGGGGUGGAAUUCCGCGUGUAGCAGUGAAAUGCGUAGAGAUGCGGAGGAACACCGAUGGCGAAGGCAGCCCCCUGGGCCAACACUGACGCUCAGGCACGAAAGCGUAGGGAGCAAACAGG
rnacentral:rRNA from 1 species